CCUUAUCUAAGUUGUCCUGUCGCCCGCGGGUGCCCGGCAACGGCAGCGCAGGCGCACAGAGGCUCCUGCGCUCCAGAGCGCGCCGUUUCCCCGCCCUGGAGCCAACCUGCCGUUCUACCCAGUCUUCCCCAGCGACACGUCAUAGAGACUCGGGUCUUUUCCGCUGCACCGGUCCUCCGUGACCAAUAGCCUUGGGCUUUUCAUAGCUCUCUCUUAGCCACUUCGUCCCCCUCAUCCAGCCUCACUCCUCAGCGCCCCAUUGUCAGAUUUCUGCCUUCCCAGACUCUUCCCCGGGAAUCCCUCCCCUUUUCACUGGGGGGGUUGAAAAAUAAAACAGAACUUUGGGAAAUCCCAGCAUUGAAGAGCUCCCCCCUCAAAAAAAAAAAAAGAAAAAAGAAAAAAAAGAAAAAAGCAAAACAAAACAAAACAAAAAAAAAACCAGCCUGAGAAGUUGUUGUAGAGGAACUCUGGAGAGUGUUCAGCUGAGUCCUGAGUCAGCAGGGCAGUCACCGGCUGACUCGAGGCCUGAAGAGAAAGAACUUUUGGGGUUUCUGGCUGGUUGAUUGUUUAAUGUGAGCAUCUUUGAAUAUUGAUAGGCAGUGAUUGUGAAGGUGAAGACACAGAAGAAUCAAGGAUACAAGGAGUUUCUUGAGGAGAUGGGAGAGAGUGACCUUGGCUGGUGGACCUCUUCCUCUGUAUCCCUAGAGCAGUAGAGGAGGAGAGCUGUAGCCUACUAUGUUAUCCUAGCAUCCUUCAGGAUCUUUAUUUUCUCUUUCAUUCAUUCAUGGAACUUGAAGACAUGAUCAUGGCAAGAUAAGAGAAUUCAGUCUUGCCCACCCCUGCCCAAUCAGCAUCUCAUCUGCUCCAGGGGCAGGAAGUCACCAGGCACAAUGGUGAUUCAAGGUGGGGAUGGCAGCUGUGGCUUUCCCAAGAGGAGCCCUCCCUGGAGAGUCCAGAAGCCAAAAAAGCCCAGGAAAGGACCCUUGUGACCAGCAUCCUGGAUGUGCCAGCCAGGAAGACAGAGGGCCAGUGCUGCUACCUGCAGCCACAAGACUCCACAACCAUGUCCUCAUACUGCUUAUAGACCACGUUGUUGGCAGAGUCAAUGAAGAGGAUGCUGAUGGGACUCAGUCGUGUGGGCACACAGCAGGUCGGUGGUGUGGACUCAGGGUCCAUGGAGUUCAUCAGGGUCUGGAUGACUGCAUGGUUCGUGGGCUCCAGAUGGGAGCGCAAGGGGAACUCACAUAGCCCCUCACAAUGGAAGGCCUCAUACUCAAGGGGUGCAAUGAUCCAGUCAUCCCAGCCCAUGUCCUUGAAGUUAACAUGCAGCGCCUUCCGACUACAACGGGCCUUGGGGUUCUUGCUGGGCCGUUUGCCUUGGCCUGUGGCCAGAGGGGCCCGCCUUUUUCGCCUCUGGCUGAACAGGUACUCAUACA